GAAGCGUCAACCCGGCACCACCCAGGCGGGUAAGACCGGGACCGUCCCACCGCCAGGCGGGACUGCC
rfam:Micromonospora sp. CB01531 scaffold10, whole genome shotgun sequence.